rnacentral:rRNA from 1 species
AACGAACGCUGGCGGCAGGCCUAACACAUGCAAGUCGAACGCCCGUAGCAAUACGGGAGUGGCAGACGGGUGAGUAACGCGUGGGAACGUGCCCUUCGGUUCGGAAUAACUCAGGGAAACUUGAGCUAAUACCGGAUACGUCCGUAAGGAGAAAGAUUUAUCGCCGAAGGAUCGGCCCCGCGUCGGAUUAGCUAGUUGGUGAGGUAA